UCUGGUUAAACAUUGCCUAGUACAUGUUGUACAGCCGAGUAUGAGAGGAAAAACUGGGGCUCCGAGACACUAAUAUGUGAGUUACCGUCCUUUCGGUGGUCCGAUUUUGAGUAAGGGCUGCUUCUCUAGAUUUCGAUCGCAUUCAACAAUAAUGCAUUAUGAUACUUGCUCAACUGUAUAAAAUAUCCCUACCUCUCUUUUUCUUUUCCAUAAUUUUCUACCCUACAGAAAUAUUAUAUAUAUGUACAUGUGUGUGUGCAUGUGUGUGUGUGUGCGUGUGUGUGUGUGCGUGUGUGUGUGCGUGAUCAUUUUUAUUUCCUUCACAGAACUGUGAUUCCUGAAGGAUCAUAACUUUGAUCCCCGGUAAAUGGCCAUGGUUGCAACUUGAGCACUGCAGGAUGAACACCAUAAUAAGCUUUCUCAGGAGCCCUCAGGAGGUCCAAGGGAAACACUGUUUCAUAAACUGUAAAGCCCUAUGUGACUCUAAGAUGUGGCCACUGCAUAAAAAAUCCGUUAGUGUACUCCAUGAAACUCAGGAAACCAAAGAAAAAGAAACAAGAAAGCCAUCAGCAGCACUCUCACCUCUAGAGGAAGUAAGUGUGCACAAUACCAGUCAGCACCUUGAGUACCUACCUGGGAAGCCCAUGGACCUCUGCCAAGCUGUGCUGUGAUCUUUAUUCCAUCGGUAUUGACAAGAAAAAUAACAAUACCGUUCCUAUUUUUACACUGCAGGCUGAGCUUUCUGCAAUGUGUGUUAUUCUCAGAACAGUCACAACUGUAUCAGGGUAAUUGUUAUUAACUAUAUAUAAUUGGUAGAAAAACUCGGACCCCCAGAGGAACUUAGUAACUUGUCCAAGACUCCAAGCACAGUGGACAAGUUAAGACUAGAAUUUAGCAGACCCAACUGGUGUUGUUGGCAGUGAGUGAAAUCUUUGGGGUGCUAAGGAUACACGAAAUGGUCCCUCAAAAUAGAUUGUCUACUCUCUGUCCCAAGCAGAGAAUUAGUAUGCGGAAAACUGUUCCCUAGACACAGGUGGCUUCUGAGGUCCUGGUCACCACCUCUCAUGGACUCCAUCAGGGAGCUGCAGAGUGAGGCUGCAAGCCCGUGGACAACCUGCUGGCUUGAAUCUGAUCCCCUCGCCGCUGAAAGAGUGCUGUGACUUUGAACAGCCACCUAACCUUUCCGAAAGUCACGCUUCCUAACCAAGUGGGAAGACCAACACACCUCAGGCGCAGGCGUCCGGAGGACACCUAAUGACAUAAUGUGUACGAAGUCUCUUUGUGAGUUUAUAUAUUUAUUUCAUAAAUAUCAGAUAUGUUAUUUAUUUACAAGCUUCUGAAGACUACCGCGCAGAGGCAUGGGUACCAACAACCAGCAAGAAAAUGUAAAAGUCUAGGGGGAUAAAGGAUAAAAUUAUUGUCCAAAGAAGUAAAGAAAUAUCCCCACUCUAUGAGCCUCUCAGUAAAUCUAUUGCUUUUCCCUCCCUGCAUCUCACCCCAGCUGUGACAGCCACUCAAAUCAGCACAGCCAUCUGAACAAAUAAAUUUCGCUUUAUGAGUCCUUAGCCUGAGGAUCCCACAGUACCAUAAACACUGAUAUGAACGGCUGUCUUCCUAGUCACCAAAAAGGAAACCCCCAAAAUGAAAACUACUCCCUUCUCUUCAUCUGAAGAUAGCUCUCCUAAUGCUGGUCUUAUAAUUUACAAAAUUCCUCAAGUACUUGUUUUAAUAUCUUGUCUGUAGAUAGAGAACUGUAUUUCUCCUUCGAUUUCACUUUCUGGCCUCUGUGUGUCGCCUAAAACCUCUAGCACAAUAAUGGAUAGAAAUGAGAACAGUAGACACCCUGUUGUAUUUUUAACUUUAAAGGAGGAAUUUUUAAGUGUGUUCCUCAGCACAUUUGCUAGAUUUUCUUAGUCAAGUUAGGGAACAUGUCUUUCUUUUCUAGUUGUUUUUUAUUAGAUGCUUCCCUGCAUCUGUUGAGUUACUUAUCCCACUUUUCUCCUUGAAUUUGAUAAUGUGGUGAGUUACUUUUUAGAUUUCCUAAUGUUAAUAUUUCUCUGCAUUUCUGGAGGAAAAAAACAAACCUCUCCCUGAUCACAAUAGACAUAAAAAAUACUAACUGGCCAGGUUCAGUUUCCUUAUAUUUUGUGAAGUUUACAUUUAUGUUUAUAAAUAAGAUUUUGAAUUAGAUUAUUCUUUCUUGCCUUUUUCCUGCUUUGUUUUGCUAAGUUG
rnacentral:lncRNA from 1 species